GUAGGUGGCGAGCGUUGUCCGGAAUUACUGGGUGUAAAGGGAGCGUAGGCGGGAGUGCAAGUUGAAUGUAUAAACUAUCGGCUCAACUGAUAGAAGCGUUCAAAACUGCACUUCUUGAGUGAAGUAGAGGCAGGCGGAAUUCCUAGUGUAGCGGUGAAAUGCGUAGAUAUUAGGAGGAACACCAGUGGCGAAGGCGGCCUGCUGGGCUUUAACUGACGCUGAGGCUCGAAAGCGUGGGUAGCAAA
rnacentral:rRNA from 1 species